CACCAAAACAAAUCUCUGCCUUUUCUUUUCUUGUUGCCCCUGCUUUUGCCAUGUUCGUGAUUGCCGAAUCGAAUUGUGUGCUCCGUCUCCGCGCGAUCGACCGGUCGAUUUUGCGGCGGUUUUGGUGCCACAGCCAAGCCAAACCGUGCUCUCUCCGCGAAUCAUGAUCAUCGAGCAUGCAGUAGUCGUUACUACACCUUCUUUUCCUCUUUCCCUUUUUGUCUGCACUUAAACUAGAGUAACCAAAAGAAAAAGCAGAGUUGCUUAAACCAAACAAACUCAUCGGCAGUACAGGCUUUUAGCUUCAGGGAACAUUACUACUGGCCAGCGAAGGUCUGUACGGAUCGACAUGACAGACUCUGCUAGCUCUGCUCCGUAGCCAUUGUAGCCAUGCAUCGUGGACACAGCCCAUCAGAUCAUCAUCGCAAACGCUAGUUAAUUGCGACCCAUCAUGAUGAUGGGAUAUGGUUCUUUACAACGGAGGCCAUUAACAAUCGCCGGCGUGUCCCGUCGGAUUCCGAAGAGUUAAUCCCCCCAACACCCGCCAAAUGCGAUUCGAAUCGUCGGUGGCUCGGUGCUAGCUAGCUAGUGGCCCACCGGUUCAGGUUCGCAGUAACGUUAAGAAAAUGCCACCGUAGGGAAUUUCACCAGCUGUUGCUUCUUGGGCUCAAGACCGAUUCCAAGACCACACGGCAGAGUUCAUGCAUUGCACAUCACAGUAGUCAGUAUUGCUUCCGUAUCUGAAUUUGUCGGAUAGGGAAAGAAAGGGGUAUAUAUAAUGUCAACUAUUGCUGAUCACCGGCCGUCCAUGUUAUGCUGGCUAGAUAAGUUGAUGAGCGCAUGUAUCCUCAUAAUUGAUGCUUGGAAAAGGAAAGAUAUACGUCGAGAUGCAGCUAACAUGAUACGCCACUUCUGAUGGUAUAGAUAAUAGUAGUAACAGCGAGGAUACGAUAUGCACGAAAAUAGUACUGUAUUACAAAAAAAAAGAGAGGUCCAGAUUAGAGAAAGCAGAUGGAUGAAGGGUCGAAGAUCAAGGGGGGUAUAACCGAGAAUAAGAUUUCCCUAGUGUGUACUUGUUCCUAGUAUUAGAGAAGUUGUCUGGAUCGGAUUUGGCAUGUGGGCAGAAAAGAUGAGGAAUGUUAGGUAGCUACAGGCAGCUACCCAUUUUCAGCUGGACGCAGGAGAAACGUAACAUGUGUGAGAGAGAGGAUUACGUUUGGCAGCAUAGCCUGCCAAAUGCCAAUAUUCCCUGGCCCCGGAGGACGCGCGGGGCAUGGCACGAUGCGCCGGCGGCCGUUGGCACCUCCACGUCGAGACAAGCUAGCCCCAUGAGCCGUGCGGCGCCUUUUGCAUGUGACGCGUGCUCGCUCGCCGUGAACGGCAUGGCCCCGCAAGGCAUCUAUCUAUCUAUCGAUCGGAAAAUCCCUCCCCUGAAGACUUUACAUCACGCGGUGGCGUGCGUCGUGUCCCUCUCCCGGCCGGCGUGCCGACUCGACCGGCCGGCCACGCCGAAUCCGCCAACUGCCAAAGCUGCCUGGCUAACUCUUCGCAUUAGCUCGUUGUGGGUGGGACAUUGUUGCCUUGUUGGUGGGUGGCCACUGACAAAUGGCAAGGCCCUGGCCGAACAAUCGACGCACCGGCACUACCAUAAUUAAGGAGCAGUGUGAUAUAACCCAAAGCCGCGUAAAAACCACCGGCAAGCACUGCUGGUUUGUGGAUCGAUCGGUUCUUUGUACCCGGGCGCAUGAGACGGAUGCAGCUGCUCCACAUGGCCACGGGAUGUCCUGGCCGCUUGUUAAUUAGCUUCUUCUUUAAUCCGUUUUUCUCUGUCGCUGCUUGCUUGCGUGGUCCGCGACGCCGAUCGCAGGCCGACACGCACGCUCCACCGGCAUAAAAGCCAGCGUCCUGAUUUGCCAGGCGAGGCCGGCGGGUAGAUAAUUGCUGUUUUUAUUGGACGUUGGUACGUACUACGCACGACUAGGAGCAAGCAGCAGCUGGCGCUAGUCGUCGUUGUGUGGUGUCGAGGGGCUUUGGACCGGCGGCCUGGGCUGUCGCAGGCGUGCAGAUUGCGUAGCCCUGUCCUACCCGCACCGGGUAGUUUUCCCUUCUUUUUGAAGGUUGGCGUCAUUCGUGACCCCGACGCGGCCACUAGUUCUCUCAAAGAAAAAAUAGUUUUCUCACCUUCGGUGCCCGCGUCUCCAAUACUGCCCGUCACCGAUAGCAUCGGGGGAGAAGUAGGCAGUAAACAAG